UUUUAGAUGUCUGAAAUUAAGUAAUGAUUUUUUAAAUCAUUUAUAGUAAAUAUAAUAUUACUUCUAAAAU
rnacentral:tRNA from 1 species